CCCUUAGAUGUCCUGGGCCGCACGCGCGCUACACUGAUGCAUUCAACGAGUUUUACCUUGGCCGAGAGGCCUGGGCAAUCUUUUAAACCUGCAUCGUGAUAGGGAUAGAUUAUUGCAAUUAUUAAUCUUGAACGAGGAAUUCCCAGUAAGUGCGAGUCAUCAGCUCGCGUUGAUUACGUCCCUGCCCUUUGUACACACCGCCCGUCGCUACUACCGAUUGGGAAAAUUUUAGAGAGUCCUGGACUGAUGAUUGUUCGGCUUCACGGCCUUACUUUCGUCGGGAAAGAAUUCGAUAAUAUUUUUCUAGAGGAAGUAAAAGUCGUAACA
rnacentral:rRNA from 1 species